CUGAGGCUGAAGCUUUUGGGGCCAGGAGUAAAAGGACUUGGUUUGUGCUCGAUUGCAUCCUGUGGGUGCUUGCCUACCAACUGACUCAUCCCGACGUGCCAAAGGCCCUGGCUUUCACCUGUGUGGGUAAGGGAAGAAGAGAUUUCUAAUGAGCGUGGCUGGCAUCGCUUCAUGAUUACAUUCUGGGAAAGAUCUUGCCUGUUAACCGCUAGAGAAGGAGGGAUGAUGCAGACAAUGAAGACUAGCAGACUGAAUUACUCUCUGAGAUGAGGAGUUUGCUAUUGCCAUUGCAGAGCUACUGGUGGAGGUUGUUGUUAAACAGCGGGUCUUGCAUGCAAGCUCUACAGUUAUGCACAGUAUUUCCAUGACAUCCCAAGCCAUGAGGUCCAUGCUGCUGUAUUCCCCUGUUUAACAAGUGUGGAAACUGAUAAUGCACUCACAAUGGCUGAUGUAUCUAAUGUUUUCUAUUGUGGACACAGGACACCCAGACUGAGGUUCGUGGAUUUUUGAAAUUUCCAAUAAUAAGAUAUUUGUGACUUAAUUUUGAGUGGAUGAACUUGAUUUGUUGUGGUUAUAUUGUUCAGUUAGUAUGUAAUUAAAUAUAUAAAUAAAUGAAAAAGGG
rnacentral:lncRNA from 1 species